rnacentral:rRNA from 1 species
GACGAACGCUGGCGGCGUGCCUAAUACAUGCAAGUAGAACGCAGUUGCGAACGGGUGAGUAACGCGUAGGUAACUGCCUCAUAGCGGGGGAUAACUAUUGGAAACGAUCGCUAAUACCGCAUAGUGUGAGAUGGACCUGCGUUGUAUUAGCUGGUUGGUGAGGUAAAGGGUCACCAAGGCGACGAUACAUAGCCGACCUGGGAGGGGGAACGGCCACAGUGGGACUGAGACAAGGCCCAGAACCCCAAGGGAGGGAGAAGUAGGGAAACAUCGGGAAUGGACGGAAGUCUGACCGAGCAACGGCGAGUGAGUGAAGAAGGUUUUCGGAUCGUAAAGCUCUGUUGUUAGAGAAGCGGUAACUAAACAGAAAGGGACGGCUAACUACGUGCCAGCAGCCGCGGUAAUAC